rfam:Triticum aestivum genome assembly, contig: Triticum_aestivum_CS42_TGACv1_scaffold_593576_7BS
AAAGUACUCCCUCCGUCCGGAAAUACUUGUCAUUAAAAUGAAUAAAAGGAAUGUAUCUAUACGUAUUUUAGUUUUAGAUACAUCUAUUUUUAUUCAUUUUGAUGAUAAGUAUUUUCGGACUUAGGGAGUAGUAA